CCGACAGCUCUCAGAGCAGAUCCUGCGCAUCAUUCUGCCCAAGCCCUCCCGGAGUUGGCGUCGUGCAAUUUGUUCUGAAACUUCAGCCUCCACCUUGGUGGUGGCUUUUCUUCUCCUAGAAGCCAACAGUGAUUCUUGGAGUGGUAGUGAGAGGGACCACCGUAUCUGCCACUUGACAGAUCUAUAUAUCAUCUGGGUCCAAUGGAGAAGAAAAUAG
rnacentral:lncRNA from 1 species